rnacentral:rRNA from 1 species
UUCGUCCAAGUGAAGUAGAGGACAGUGGCGGACGGGUGAGUAACGCGUGAGGAACCUGCCUUUCAGAGGGGGACAACAGUUGGAAACGACUGCUAAUACCGCAUGACACAUUGGGGUCGCAUGGCCUUGAUGUCAAAGAUUUAUCGCUGAAAGAUGGCCUCGCGUCUGAUUAGCUAGUUGGCGGGGUAACGGCCCACCAAGGCGACGAUCAGUAGCCGGACUGAGAGGUUGAUCGGUCCACAUUGGGACUGAGACACGGCCCAGACGUCC